UACGUAGGGUGCAAGCGUUGUCCGGAAUUAUUGGGCGUAAAGAGCUCGUAGGCGGUUUGUUGCGUCGGCUGUGAAAUCCCGAGGCUCAACCUCGGGUCUGCAGUCGAUACGAGCAAACUAGAGUGUUGCAGGGGAGACUGGAAUUACUGGUGUAGCGGUGAAAUGCGCAGAUAUCAGGAGGAACACCGGUGGCGAAGGCGGGUCUCUGGGCAACUACUGACGCUGAGGAGCGAAAGCGUGGGGAGCGAACAGG
rnacentral:rRNA from 1 species